GAUUUGCAAAUAUUUUCUCCCAUUCUGUGGGUUCUUUUUCACUCCUUUGAUAGUAUCCUUUGUACAUAAGUUUUAAUUCUGAUGACGUCCAAAUUGCAUACUUUUCUUUUGUUGUCUAUGCUUUCGGUGUCAUAUCCUAGAAGUCAUUGCCAAAUUCAAUGUCAUUAAGAGUUUCCCUUAGGUUUUCUUUUAAGAAUUAGGUAGUUUUAUCUCUUAAGUUUAGGUCUUUGAUUCAUUCUGCCUUAAUUUUUGUAUAUGAUGUAGAUAAGGGUUCCAUUUUAUUCUUUGGCAUGUGGAAAUAUCCUGUUUUUCUAGCACCAUUUGUUGAAAAGACUGUCCUUUCCCCAUUGAAUAGUUUUGUACCCUUGACAAAAAUCAAUGAUUUCUGGCUUAUUAUUUCUGACCCUGUUCCAUUGGUCUAUAUGUCUGCUCUAUUCCAUUUUAAGAAGUAAUAUGGUUUCUUCUAAACUCUUAUCCUUGUACCCACUCCAUCAAGGGGGGAAUAAGGAGGAAAAGUCUUAAACACCAAAGGAUUAAGUAACGAAUGUUAUGGUGCCCUGGAUUUGAAUGCUAGGAAGAAUGCAACAUUCUGGAGGUGCCCGAUUUUCAGACUAGCAUUCAAAUUGUCAGUGUUGAGCAAGCAUUUUGUUCUAUUUUGAACCCAUCCCUUGCUAUCUUGGGCACAACCAUUCUUUACAUUUUUUCCCCUGUGUUACCAAACUUAGAGGACCCAAAUACGCUCGCAAGUGAUGCUGUUUUGAAAUCCCACGUGAUGGGAAUGAGACUGAUUCUGUGUGUGCAUUCAGCCUUUAACUCAUGAAAGAAGAAUUGCUAUUAGUCAGAGGUUCUUCAUUGAGCACAAUUUAUGUGGGACACUGUAACACAAAAUUUACAUCCAUUGUGGCUUCCAGUGCAAUUAGGGAGGCAAAGUAUAUAUAUAAACGGAUAAUCAUCUAGAGAUGGGAAAGAUGAAAAAGGAAAUAGUUGCCCAAAUCUCCAAAUGCAGGAUCUUUCCGGGAUAUUUAAAGAGGAAGAGUAAAUUCCAUUUCAAGGGUUGAAGGGAAACAAUAUGGGGUAUUAAGACGAAGGCAGACAUGAAUGAACUAUCUGGGGACAGUGAGAAGGCCAGCCCAACUAGAUCAGAGGGUGUGUGUGGGAGAGCAGUGGUGGAUAAGUGGGGUAGGGCUAAAUUAUGUAGGGUUUUUAAAUAACCAGACAGAAGAGUGUGCACUUGAUUUAGUAAGACAAUAGGAUACCCUUAAUAGUUCUUAAAUGACAUGAUUAAUUUUUAAAAUAAAGGAUGGUGGUACAGUUUUAGGUAGAUUUGUUCAGGAGGGAAUGUGGGGUAGGUUUUUAGAGAAGAGGAAUUGAUUCAGUUAUCAUAAGACUUCCCUGGAAAGAAAAGUAGAUCUUUGCCCCAAGUCCAAUGUCAGAUUGAGGUGUGUUUCAGAACCCUUGUUAAUUGAAAUCCAGUGUUAGAAAAUGCACUGGAUCUAAAAUCCUGUAAGAUCUUGCCCAAGUUCAAGCAGACCCACUAAUCUUUCGUGUUAAUGGCCUAAAAUUUCCACUCUGGGUUCUGGUUUGGUUUGGCGCUCUCCCCAGAUUGCCUCACUAUGGUGCCAUGUUUCCAAAGCUACCAAGCUAUGGGCAGGGCUAUAAUUUCAGUUUCCUCAUUUUUACAAAAGAUCGGGUUUUCUAAAGCUCUUCUCUUAGUGUAUCAGCCAGAAUUUGUGUUGAAAAGAUACACAAAAACUGGGAACCACUGCGGUUGACUUUUAGCCCUUUCAUCCCACCUGCAUUCCCCUAAAUGCUCAGCAGGACCUAGCACUUUCUCUCCACUCAGUGCUCUCCCUCAGCAGCCAAAGAUUACCUGUUAUGCACACAAGUGGUCCAAGCUGCUCUGUCUCAGAGAGGAAUGUGGAGCCUUGCCAGUUGACAUUUUGGGGGGUCACAGGAAAAGAGAGGGUAAGCAGGAAGUGUUUCAUGGGCUAGAAUCAUGGGAUAUGCAAGGACACCCCAUUCCAGAGCUCAGUGCUAGACAAUGGCAUAUGAGGAACCAUUAGACUGAUUUCCCCUGUGGUCAGAGGCUGGCUGCAUUUUUAUCCUUCCUCCCCUGCCUGAACACUCCCAACAUUGGAAUUUCUUCGGAUGGCUACUGUGUGUGGUUUUCAACCAGGACAAACAAAAAAGAGAGAGAGAGAGAGUUUUGUUUUCCUGUCUGCUUUUGGUCAAUGGAAUCUCUGAUUCGACUUAACCGGUCAUGCCUUGUACACCCGGCGGCUGGUUAGGGCUUUAAGCCCUAAGCACACGGAACUAGCUUUACUGACUCCUUUCCAUCGCCCGAACCAGAGUACAAACUUCAUCCUACCGCUCACCCCCAGCGUCCCUUCAAACUAUGGUAAUUCUGCAGGAGAAGGGAUUGUGGAUCACUGUGAUUAAAAAACAAAACACACAGACGGCUCAAGGAGAAUCCUGGCCCCUCCCAUAUCCAAUCCCAGGGAGCAGGAAGUAGAAGCAACUCUCAGGCAGGUGGUCCCCAGUGCAUUCUCAGUCUCCUGAGGAAGGAAUGGGGAGCAGUUUGGUAAAACUUCACUUGAUGUUGGAGUUACCGGAGGAUAGGAACUGAGGUGAGGCUUUUGGGACGACAGAGAGUCAAGUUCUUGUUUUUAUCACCUAGACAUUGGUGGACUGAUUCAGGAUUCCUGGGUUCCCAUUUUCCCCUUUAUCAGACCCAUGCUACGUCCAUCCACGUAACAGCAUGGUGACCAGGUUUGAAUCCCACCCUACUGGUUGCAGGACCGCCUUACUAGUUAUGCGAACUUGGGCAAGUUCCUUGAUAACCGGAUCUGCCUCCUAAGAUUACCGUGAGCUUUAAGUGCAAGGUGGGUAGGCCAGGGACCAGCAUAUAUCGUGGAAGCAUUCCUGAGAUUAUGGGCUUUUUCCUCUCCUUGGCUGUAGCAUGACGAAGUGCUUGUAACUGUCAUGUCGGUCAUUCUGCACUCCUGACAGGAAGAACGUCCAUUGUGUGCAAAUACUCACUGUGAGUGUUGUUCUGAGGACUGGCAGAGGAAAGGAAAGAUCUGGCUCCUACCCUCUGGGAGGGGAAGAGACUCCUCAGAGAGUUUCUCAGAGAAUACGACUCACAAAGGGAAAGAAUCUGCACCCAGCUUUCCCUUGUGGGAAAUGUCAGGACAUGGAGGCCUGUCAGAGGCUCUGGGACCGGGGAUCGUCAGCAGCGCCUGGGGAGCAAAGAAAGCUGUGGAGGUUAUCUUCAUACCUCGAGGCCUCCUUCUGGCACAGAGUGUGAAAGAAGAGCGGGAAGGACAGACAGGACUGGGAUUUGGCAGGGUUCCAUGAGCAGAUGAGGAGCUCCGCCUCUAGGCCCCAAAUCUGCCCCUAGGGGAUUCAGGCUCCCCCUUCUGGGCCUAGCCCCACACUCAGAGCCCUGGUUCUGGGCACACUGGUGUCCUCCCUAGUGUGCACGUGUGACGGGCCAUGGCUAUGCCCUUCCAGUCUUCCCCUGCCUCUCCUGAACCCCCCGCCCAUUCUAGGCUUUAUAAUCAGAGUCCUCAUUAUUCUGCUUUGUCCAUCCAAAGGCUACCCAAUCUGUUAAGGUCCACUUCAAUCUCAUCUCCUCCCUGAAGCCUUCCCUGACCACCCAGCUCUCACUGCCCUAAGUUCCCUUGUAGUGGAAAGCUGAAAUGUGGUUAAUUAUAUUUGCCCCAAAUAUCUGAGCACCUGUUGGGUUGCAGGGCUCUGGGCGUGGAUGUUGGGGAAAGUAUGAAAGUAAAGGACAGGAUCGUCUUUUAUCAAGAAGGUUAGACUCUAAGAGAAUAGCCUGGAAAAUCCCCAUGUUGCUUCGCAGGUCUGUUGUUUUUAUUUAACUUAAUAACAACAAUAAUAAUAAACCAUUGGGGGAAUACUUGCUAUGUGUCAGUAGUGUGCCAAGAGGCUUUCAUGAACUAUCUAACACUUAAUAGUUCUCCUAUAGGGGAAAUGCUAUUAUUUGAGCCAGGCAGCCCGACUCCACUGUUUCCACUCCUCACCACGCUGCCGUAAUUUUUCCCGUGUGUUUCACCUUUUCUGCUCAACGAGCAUGAAAUUCUUUGAGGCCAGGCACCUUGUCUCAUCCUCCCUCAGCCCCUGCAGCACUAAACACACUGCUGGUUUUGGAGGUCAGCCGCACACGCCGCUGGUGAGUUGUCCGCCAGGAUUCAGGGAUGCCUCGGUGAGCAGGCCCGGCGGCGGCAGAGAGGAGAGAUUGCCCCGGGUUUCAUAGUUCCGGGCAGCAGAGCCAGAAAAAUAGAUGAGGAGUCCAGGGUCCACAUACUGCUGGGGACCAACUCGCAGCUCACUCGCUGCCUCCAGGCCUAGACCAACAUUACCACCGAGCCAGGCCUCUAGGUACUAGGUGGGCUUUAUCUGAGGACCUCUUUACAGCCUGCAUGUAGGUCCAUUAGGAACAGGCCCAGAAGGUUCAUGGUUAAUGAUUACCAAGACCCGGAAGUCCCCAACAUUGCCUAGAACUAAGAAUGUCCUGUCUUGAGGACAGACUCGUAUCAUCUUCACAUCUACAAGCCAACCUUAGGAUUGCUUAGCAUGUCUGCCGAGUUAGAGUGAUUGUAUGUCUGAGAGCAGGGGCACUUGAGGCACAAAAAUAUCCAUCCUCAUUCAAGGGGACAGAUUCCUUGACAUUUAAUGAAAAUCUUACUCCCGUUCUAGUUACUCAUCUAUCAUGUUAUCUCUUUCUUUCAGAGUUACUGAUGGCCUAGAUAGUAUAAGAAGCUAUGCAGGGGAAAAAAACAAAAAAACAAAAAAGGGACACCUGGGUGGAUCGGUUCGUUAAGCGG